CCAUCACUGCAGUGGAUCCCACAGAUUCAGGACUGUAUUACUGCAGUUUGCUGCUAAAUGAUAAGAUAACCUUUAGCAACACAACAUAUUUACAUGUCAAAGACAGAAAUGAAACACCUGAGAGCAUCAACAUAACUAAAGAAGGUGACUGUGUGGGUUUAUUCACUCUCACUGUGGCGUUUGGUGCAGCGACAGUGUUUCUCCUCAGUUCCCUUCUUAUCAUCUAUAACAAACAGAAGAACAGAAAAGACA